UACGUAGGGGGCUAGCGUUGUCCGGAAUCAUUGGGCGUAAAGCGCGCGCAGGCGGCCCGGUAAGUCCGUUGUAAAAGUCAAAGGCUCAACCUGUGAAUGCCGCUGGAAACUGUCUGGCUAGAGUCCGGGAGGGGCGAGUGGAAUUCCUGGUGUAGCGGUGAAAUGCGCAGAUAUCAGGAGGAACACCAAUGGCGAAGGCAGCUCGCUGGAACGGAACUGACGCUGAGGCGCGAAAGCGUGGGGAGCGAACAGG
rnacentral:rRNA from 1 species